CUUCUUCACAUCCACGUUCGCAAUAAUUCCCACAGUUCAUACGAAAGGAGACAGAUCGAUACUUCCCCCAAAAUUAGUUCUAUUUCCAACGAGACGAAUACAAAAUGUCUUCAUUGGCAGCAGCAAGAGCUGAUAAUUUCUACUACCCCCCAGAAUGGACUCCAAAACAGGGUUCUUUGAACAAGUUUCAUGGCCAGCAUGCUCUCAGGGAGAGAGCAAAAAAGAUAGACCAGGGCAUUUUGAUAAUCAGGUUCGAGAUGCCAUUCAAUGUAUGGUGUGGUGGUUGCAAUUCUAUGAUUGCAAAGGGUGUUCGGUUCAAUGCAGAGAAAAAGCAAGUGGGGAACUAUUAUUCUACAAAGGUAUCUCUAACAACUGAUUAACAGAUGUUACUAUCAUUACUGACUUAUUACUGUACUUGAUUUUAGCCAAUUGGAAAAUAUUGUUGUUUUGCUUUGAUGUUGAAGUGUGGACUUGCAUCACACAUUCAACAACCUGAUCUGUUGUAUCUUUAACAUGAUUUAGUCAAUGAGGAAGUUCACCUGUUAAUUAAUUUGCCCCCUAGCUAAUUGGAAAGCUCAUGAUUUAUGGCACUUAUUACACUGGCCAUUUUUUUAGUUUUAAAUCUUGGUUUCUUAUGUGUCUUCUUACUUCCUUCAGAUAUGGAGCUUUACCAUGAAAUCUGCAUGCUGCAAACAUGAAAUUGUUAUACAAACAGAUCCAAAAAAUUGUGAAUAUGUGAUUAUUAGUGGCGCCCAACGAAAGAAUGCGGAGUUUGACGUUGAGGAUGCAGAAACGUUUGCACUUCCUGCAGAUGAAGAGAGGGGUAAACUGGCAGAUCUAUUUUAUCGUCUUGAACAUCAGGAAGAGGAUCUGCAGAAGAAGAAAGAAGCUGAGCCAGUCCUAGUUCAGCUUCAACGUGUAUCUGAUGCCAGGCAUUCAGAUGAUUGUGCCCUUCACAAGGCUCUUCAAGCCCAACUCAGGAGUCAAAAGAAAAGAGUUGCUGAAGAAGAGUUUGCUUCGAGCAAAAUGGGACUCGGCAUACGACUGCUUCCAACUACCAAGGAAGAUGGUUGCAUUGCAGCACAUGUGAAGUUCUCUUCCAGGUUUGAGAAAAAUAGAAAGGAUAAGGGAGCAUCAAUUAAUGCAGCUUCAAUCUUUCCAGAAUCUUUCUCCAAUAAGAAGCAUUUGGAGCUAGAAGACAAGAGGAGGAAAAUUAGUGUUGCUGCAGCCUAUAACUUACUUUCAGGGGGAUUGAAGCCAUCUUCAUGGUUGUAGGAUGCUAUUUCUUCAAUCAGGCAUAAAACUUCGAGACAUUUUUAGCUAUGGGUUUUCUAGGUGUAAAUGUUUUUCUUCACUUGGAUUUAAAAUGUCUUGUGUGAAUUUUAUUUUUCGCUGGUCUUUGCAUGUUGUAAAUGGCAUUAGAUCUUGUACAUACGAGUGUCCACUGCCUUGUUUGCCCUUUUAGUUGGCACUUAUUUGUAGGAGUAGGACACCAAAACGUUUAGCAAUUCAAACAGUGAGAUGAUAUAGAAUGACUGUUAUUUAUGAUGCUAGUGGAUGUUCUUCACGACACCAAUUGGGAAAUUACUUCAUGUUUAAGCCUUCUUGUGUGCCAUUAAUAAAUUGAUUUCGCAACAAAU
rnacentral:misc_RNA from 1 species